UGUAAAAUCACCUAAAUUUUUCUUUCCUUCAAAUCUCAGAAUCUCACUCCCGUACCUCACCCGAUUCUAUUGACGCUAUCUCAACUUCGUUCGUUUCUUCUUUCAUUUCCUUCUCGCAUGGUCCCAUCGUCUCAUACGAUGGUGGAAGGCAUUGCAUGUCAUGUUCGCUUCCAAUCCCCCAAGUCGAACGUGUUGAAUUAUCCCUAGAAAUAGUUGUUCUCCUCUUGCGUUGUCUACAUUCCUCAUGAAUCGCUUCCUUCUCAAGUUCCGCUAUGCUGGGAACUGCCCAGCCAUAUAUACAAACCGUAUAUGCCAAGAUUAAUGGAGGACAAAAUCCUAACCCAAAUACCAGUCCCGCAUUAACGCUAACGUUACUAGCAUUCAGGGUAAAACUCCAUGUCUCUAAAAAUUGAUACACAAUGCGUGGAAGAAUCGAUAUCAUCAUGAUCACCAUCCCCACCCAUCUUCCUCGUCUGUCCAACUUGUAAACAAACGAAUAAACAAUAAACAUGGCGCAUGCAAAGACCCACGCAAUUGCCAGAAGGACCGAGGAUGCCUUGAAUCGACCGUCUGUUGCUGCAUUUCCAUCUCCCCGUACAACUUUGGUCCAUGGAUGAAGUGCGGCCAGAAAGAACCCCAUAAGGUUAAAAACGUAGAAUACAAUCGGCGCAUAAUAUUCCACCACAAAUAUCCAGUGAUCAAGGGAAAAAUGCGCUGCAUGCUUUCCUACUACAAUCCUUUGUCGAUAUAGAGCAAAACCAUAUGUGCUUAUAACAUGCCAAAUGAUGGCAAUGCUAAUGGGAAGAGCUGUUUGGAAUGUAAAGGAGAAUAUUUUCAUCGCUGCCCCUUGUACUAGAUUUCGGUCCACAUCUAUAUACGCAAAUCCUCCCACCGCUAAUGCCAGAAUCAGCAACGUUAUCCAAAUAAACUCCAUACGCCUUUUCAAAAGCGGCGGCUUCCCUUUCCAAUAUUUCGCAAUGUUAACUAGUAACAGAGGAAUUAGAAAAAAGCAAAAACAUGCCGUUACAAUCCCAACAGCCCCAUGAGAUGCAAGCGACUUCACAGGACUAUCACAACUCUGCCCAUUGUAAAUCAUUCCAUCACUUUCAAUGAUGGGUGUGUGUUCAUCAUUAAUCAAGUAGCAAUUAGUAAAGUUACUGAUUGUUCCGUUGGAAUAUACGGAGUAGUUGUAUAGCUGGAAAAGUUGCACUUGUGAAUCAUUCAUCAUGUACAGCCAAUCUAUUUAUCAACAAGAUAUCACACCAUUAAUUAUGUGUUGAGCUAAUUUUUUUUAAAAUCUAUCUAUCUCUCUGUGACAAACGUUGAAAAUACUUUUUUCAGUGUCACACUACUUACUACAAACAAAAGAACGUAAAAAUCUAACCAAAGGAUGUGAAAAAAAUAGGUUUGUACCUUUUUUUAUGCCAUUAGCUUUCUUUAAGUAUAAUUCAAUCAAUUACAAG